AAACGGUAAAGCAUUUUAGAUGUAAUAGAAUUUAAGCUUCUUUGAAAUUAACAUCGUUUA
rnacentral:tRNA from 1 species